CCUACGGGGUGCUGCAGUGAGGAAUAUUGGUCAAUGGCCGUAAGGCUGAACCAGCCAAGUAGCGUGAGGGAAGACUGCCCUAUGGGUUGUAAACUUCUUUUAUUCGGGACGAAACAAAUGACGGUACCGAAUGAAUAAGCCACGGCUAACUACGUGCCAGCAGCCGCGGUAAUACGUAGGUGGCAAGCGUUAUCCGGAUUUACUGGGUGUAAAGGGCGUGUAGGCGGGAGAGCAAGUCAGACGUGAAAUUCCAGGGCUCAACCCUGGAACUGCGUUUGAAACUGUUCUUCUUGAGUGAUGGAGAGGCAGGCGGAAUUCCGGGUGUAGCGGUGAAAUGCGUAGAUAUACGGAGGAACACCAGUGGCGAAGGCGGCCUGCUGGACAUUAACUGACGCUGAGGCGCGAAAGCGUGGGGAGCAAACAGGAUUAGAUACCCUUGUAGUC
rnacentral:rRNA from 1 species